rnacentral:rRNA from 1 species
AUUGAACGCUGGCGGCAUGCUUUACACAUGCAAGUCGAACGGUAACAGGCCUUCGGGCGCUGACGAGUGGCGAACGGGUGAGUAAUGCAUCGGAACGUGCCCAGUCGUGGGGGAUAACGCAGCGAAAGCUGUGCUAAUACCGCAUACGAUCUGCGGAUGAAAGCGGGGGACCUUCGGGCCUCGCGCGAUUGGAGCGGCCGAUGUCAGAUUAGGUAGUUGGUGGGGUAAAGGCUCACCAAGCCAACGAUCUGUAGCUGGUCUGAGAGGACGACCAGCAACACUGGGACUGAGACACGGCCCAGACUCCUACGGGAGGCAGCAGUGGGGAAUUUUGGACAAUGGGCGCAAGCCUGAUCCAGCAAUGCCGCGUGUAGGAAGAAGGCCUUCGGGUUGUAAACUGCUUUUGUACGGAGCGAAAGGGCUCCCUCUAAUACAGGGGGCUCAUGACGGUACCGUAAGAAUAAGCACCGGCUAACUACGUGCCAGCAGCCGCCGUAAAAC